rnacentral:rRNA from 1 species
AGUCAAUAGAUACCCUGGUAGUCCAUGCCGUAAACGAUGAUUGCUAGGUGUGGGGGGUCUGACCCCUUCCGUGCCGGAGUUAAACACAAUAAGCAAUCCACCUGGGGAGUACGGCCGCAAGGUUGAAACUCAAAGGAAUUGACGGGGGCCCGCACAAGCAGUGGAGUAUGUGGUUUAAAUUCGAAGCAACGCGAAGAACCUUACCAGGUCUUGACAUCCACCGAAUCCUGUAGAGAUACGGGAGUGCCCUUCGGGGAACGGUGAGACAGGUGGUGCAUGGUUGUCGUCAGCUCGUGUCGUGAGAUGUUGGGUUAAGUCCCGCAACGAGCGCAACCCUUGUGAAUAGUUGCUACGAAAGAGCACUCUAUUCAGACCGCCGUUGACAAAACGGAGGAAGGUGGGGAUGACGUCAAAUCAUCAUGCCCCUUAUGACCUGGGCUACACACGUACUACAAUGGCCGUUAACAGAGGGAUGCAAUGCCGCGAGGUGGAGCGAACCCCUAAAAACGGUCUCAGUUCAGAUUGCAGGCUG